rnacentral:rRNA from 1 species
GAGUUUGAUCGUGGCUCAGAUUGAACGCUGGCGGUAUGCUUAACACAUGCAAGUCGAACGGUAACAGGAGAGAGCUUGCUCUUUUGCUGACGAGUGGCGGACGGGUGAGUAAUGCGUAGGAAUCUGCCUAGUAGUGGGGGACAACGUGUGGAAACGCACGCUAAUACCGCAUACGCCCUACGGGGGAAAGCGGGGAGUCUUCGGACCUCGCGCUAUUAGAUGAGCCUACGUUAGAUUAGCUAGUUGGUGGGGUAAAGGCCUACCAAGGCGACGAUCUAUAGCUGGUCUGAGGAGGAUGAUCGACGCCACUACGUGGGACUGAGAC